GAUGAACGCUAGCGGGAGGCCUAACACAUGCAAGCCGAGCGGUAUUGUUUCUUCGGCUAUGUGUGAGCGGCGUACGGGUGCGUAACACGUGUGCAACCUGCCUUUAUCUGGGGGAUAGCCUUUCGAAAGGAAGAUUAAUACUCCUUAUUAUAUUGAACGGCAUCGUUUAAUAUUGAAAGCUCCUGCGGCUAGAGAUGGGCAGGGGCCGGAUUAGCUAGUUGGUGAGGUAACGGCCCACCAACGCGAUGAUCCGUAGCUGGCCGGAGAGGGUGAUCCGCCACCCAGGAACUGAGACUCGGUCCCGAACCCUACGGGAGGCAGAAGUGGGGAAUAUGGGACAAUGGGCGCAAGCCUAAGCCAGCCCCACCGCGCGGGUGAAGAAGGCCUUCGGGUUGUGGAGUUCUUUUUUUGUGUAAGAAAAGAAGAACGUUCCUACCCCGGUGUUCUGAAGGUACCCAAAGAAUAAGCACCGGCUAACUUCGUG
rnacentral:rRNA from 1 species